GAGGGUAUAGCUCAGUGGUAGAGCGCAUGCCCAGCAUGCAUGAGGUCCUGGGUUCAAUCCCCAGCACUUCCA
rnacentral:tRNA from 1 species